AUACGGAGGGUGCGAGCGUUAAUCGGAAUUACUGGGCGUAAAGCGUACGUAGGCGGUUGGUUAAGUUAGAUGUGAAAGCCCCGGGCUUAACCUGGGAACUGCAUUUAAAACUGGCGAACUAGAGUUGAGUAGAGGGGAGUGGAAUUUCAGGUGUAGCGGUGAAAUGCGUAGAGAUCAGAAGGAACACCAGUGGCGAAGGCGACUCCCUGGACUCGAACUGACGCUGAGGUACGAAAGCGUGGGUAGCAAACGGGAUUAGAAACCCCGGUAGUCC
rnacentral:rRNA from 1 species